rnacentral:rRNA from 1 species
CCUACGGGGGCAGCAGUGGGGAAUAUUGGACAAUGGGCGAAAGCCUGAUCCAGCCAUGCCGCGUGUGUGAAGAAGGCCUUCGGGUUGUAAAGCACUUUCAGUGGGGAAGAAAGCCUUGGGGCUAAUACCCUCGAGGAAGGACAUCACCCACAGAAGAAGCACCGGCUAACUCCGUGCCAGCAGCCGCGGUAAUACGGAGGGUGCGAGCGUUAAUCGGAAUUACUGGGCGUAAAGCGCGCGUAGGCGGUCUGAUAAGCCGGUUGUGAAAGCCCCGGGCUCAACCUGGGAACGGCAUCCGGAACUGUCAGGCUAGAGUGCAGGAGAGGAAGGUAGAAUCCCCGGUGUAGCAGUGAAAUGCGUAGAGAUCGGGAGGAAUACCAGUGGCGAAGGCGGCCUUCUGGACUGACACUGACGCUGAGGUGCGAAAGCGUGGGUAGCAAACAGGAUUAGAUACCCUAGUAGUC